rnacentral:rRNA from 1 species
UACGUAGGUGACAAGCGUUGUCCGGAUUUACUGGGCGUAAAGAGCGCGCAGGCGGUCGAUCAAGUCGAGUGUGAAAGCCCCCCGGCUCAACUGGGGAGGGUCAUUCGAUACUGAUCGACUCGAAGGCAGGAGAGGGUAGUGGAAUUCCCGGUGUAGUGGUGAAAUGCGUAGAUAUCGGGAGGAACACCAGUGGCGAAGGCGACUACCUGGCCUGUUCUUGACGCUGAGGCGCGAAAGCUAGGGGAGCAAACGGGG